AUUGAACGCUGGCGGCAGGCCUAACACAUGCAAGUCGAGCGGAUGAAGGGAGCUUGCUCCUGGAUUCAGCGGCGGGCGGGUGAGUAAUGCCUAGGAAUCUGCCUGGUAGUGGGGGAUAACGUCCGGAAACGGGCGCUAAUACCGCAUACGUCCUGAGGGAGAAAGUGGGGGAUCUUCGGACCUCACGCUAUCAGAUGAGCCUAGGUCGGAUUAGCUAGUUGGUGGGGUAAAGGCCUACCAAGGCGACGAUCCGUAACUGGUCUGAGAGGAUGAUCAGUCACACUGGAACUGAGACACGGUCCAGACGCCUACGGGAGGCAGCAGUGGGGAAUAUUGGACAAUGGGCGAAAGCCUGAUCCAGCCAUGCCGCGUGUGUGAAGAAGGUCUUCGGAUUGUAAAGCACUUUAAGUUGGGAGGAAGGGCAGUAAGUUAAUACCUUGCUGUUUUGACGUUACCAACAGAAUAAGCACCGGCUAACUUCGU
rnacentral:rRNA from 1 species